ACUUCUUUAGUAUAUAUAGUACAAUUGAUUUCCAAUCAAAUAGAUUAAUUUUUUUUAAGAAGUA
rnacentral:tRNA from 1 species